CGCAUCUGUGCAUGCAGCAUAUCAAUAAGCGGAGGAAAAGGAAACUAACAAGGAUUCCCUUAGUAACAGCGAGUGAAGCGGGAAGAGCUCAAAUUUGAAAUCUUCAAGGUUUUACCUUGACGAAUUGUAGUUUAAAGAAGUGUUUUCUGCUGAAGUUUUGGUAAAAGUUCUUUGGAAUAGGACAUCAUAGAGGGUGAGAAUCCCGUAUUUGACCAUUAUUUUCAGCUUUGUGAUACACUUUCAAAGAGUCGGAUUGUUUGGGAAUGCAGUCCAAAAUGGGUGGUAAAUUUCAUCUAAAGCUAAAUAUUGGCGAGAGACUGAUAGCGAACAAGUACCGUGAGGGAAAGAUGAAAAGAACUUUGAAAAGAGAGUUAAACAGUACGUGAAAUUGUCAAAAGGGAAGCGUUUGACACCAGUGUUGUUUUCUCGAAAAUCAAUUAAAAAUGGCUCGAUUUUGUAUUGCUGAGACCUUAAAAGCUCACUGUACAUUUUUCGUGUCUUUUUUAAUGCACUUUUCGUUUAACAAGUCAACAUCAGUUUCUUUUGUUGUAAAAGGGUCAUUGGAAGGUGGCUUUCUUUUCGGAGAAAGUGUUUAAUAGCCUUUGGCCUCUGCAAUCGGAGAGACUGAGGUCUGCAGCGUAGACUCUUCGGGGUUAGAUACAUUUGUGCUAAGUUAUAGCUUUUUAUAGACAACUUGUUGACUAUAAUUAGUCUUGUAGCUUACUCGCUUAUGCUAUUUUACCUACGCUUAGGAUGUUGACGCAUGAGAUAUACGC
rnacentral:rRNA from 1 species